rnacentral:rRNA from 1 species
CCUACAGGAGGCAGCAGUGAGGAAUAUUGGUCAAUGGGCGCGAGUCUGAACCAGCCAAGUAGCGUGAAGGAUGACUGCCCUACGGGUUGUAAACUUCUUUUAUAAAGGAAUAAAGUGAGGCACGUGUGCCUUUUUGUAUGUACUUUAUGAAUAAGGAUCGGCUAACUCCGUGCCAGCAGCCGCGGUAAUACGGAGGAUCCGAGCGUUAUCCGGAUUUAUUGGGGUUAACGGGAGCGUAGGUGGAUUGUUAAGUCAGUUGUGAAAGUUUGCGGCUCAACCGUAAAAUUGCAGUUGAAACUGGCAGUCUUGAGUACAGUAGAGGUGGGCGGAAUUCGUGGUGUAGCGGUGAAAUGCUUAGAUAUCACGAAGAACUCCGAUUGCGAAGGCAGUUCACUGGACUGCAACUGACACUGAGGCUCGAAAGUGUGGGUAUCAAACAGGAUUAGAUACCCUAGUAGUC